rnacentral:rRNA from 1 species
AUUGAACGCUGGCGGCAUGCCUUACACAUGCAAGUCGAACGGCAGCACGGGAGCAAUCCUGGUGGCGAGUGGCGAACGGGUGAGUAAUAUAUCGGAACGUGCCCAGUAGUGGGGGAUAACUGCUCGAAAGAGCAGCUAAUACCGCAUACGACCUGAGGGUGAAAGGGGGGGAUCGCAAGACCUCUCGCUAUUGGAGCGGCCGAUAUCAGAUUAGCUAGUUGGUGGGGUAAAGGCCUACCAAGGCAACGAUCUGUAGUUGGUCUGAGAGGACGACCAGCCACACUGGGACUGAGACACGGCCCAGACUCCUACGGGAGGCAGCGGUGGGGAAUUUUGGACAAUGGGCGCAAGCCUGAUCCAACAAUGCCGCGUGCAGGAAGAAGGCCUUCGGGUUGUAAACUGCUUUUGUCAGGGAAGAAAUCCUCUAGGUUAAUACCCUUGGGGGGAUGACGGUACCUGAAGAAUAAGCACCGGCUAACUACGUGCCAGCCGCCGCGGUAACAC